rnacentral:rRNA from 1 species
ANAGUUUGAUCCUGGCUCAAAUUGAACGCUGGCGGCAGGCCUAACACAUGCAAGUCGAGCGGAAACGAUGGAGCUUGCUCCAGGCGUCNAGCGGCGGACGGGUGAGUAAUGCAUAGGAAUCUGCCCGGUAGUGGGGGAUAACCUGGGGAAACCCAGGCUAAUACCGCAUACGCCCUACGGGGGAAAGCAGGGGAUCUUCGGACCUUGCGCUAUCGGAUGAGCCUAUGUCGGAUUANCUUGUUGGUGAGGUAAUGGCUCACCAAGGCGACGAUCCGUAGCUGGUCUGAGAGGAUGAUCAGCCACAUCGGGACUGANACACGGCCCGAACUCCUACGGGAGGCAGCAGUGGGGAAUAUUGGACAAUGGGCGAAAGCCUGAUCCAGCCAUGCCGCGUGUGUGAANAAGGCUUUCGGGUUGUAAAGCACUUUCAGUGAGGAANAACGCCUUGAGGCUAAUACCUUCGAGGAAAGACAUCACUCACAGAANAAGCACCGGCUAACUCCGUGCCAGCAGCCGCGGUAAUACGGAGGGUGCGAGCGUUAAUCGGAAUUACUGGGCGUAAAGCGCGCGUAGGUGGCUUGAUAAGCCGGUUGUGAAAGCCCCGGGCUCAACCUGGGAACGGCAUCCGGAACUGUCAGGCUAGAGUGCAGGAGAGGAAGGUANAAUUCCCGGUGUAGCGGUGAAAUGCGUAAAGAUCGGGAGGAAUACCAGUGGCGAAGGCGGCCUUCUGGACUGACACUGACACUGAGGUGCGAAAGCGUGGGUAGCAAACAGGAUUANAUACCCUGGUAGUCCACGCCGUAAACGAUGUCCACUANCCGUUGGGGU